AUGAAGAGAAUUUCAUGGAAAAAUGGAGGGCAUGAUGCUGCGAAAAUUACAUAGACUGAAUGAAUGUUGGCUUUGGUAAUGAAAGCUGUGUCCCCUAUCAAGAAUUACAUGACAAAAAUGACAUUAGAGGAUGAUAGAAACAAAUUGUUGAUAUGCUUUGUAAUGUUGUCUGAUAGACGUGAAGUUUAUGAACCUCUUUAACAAAUGGAUUUGCAAACGACAUCUGGGAGAGAAGAAUUUCAUCAAGUAACUCAGAAUUUGAUGAAAGCUGCCAAAUGACACAAGUCUCGGUGAAAAGGGUUGGAACCACUGAAAAAUCAGAAAAGCUAUUUUUGGAAUUGUGCAGUAGACGGUUCCUGUUAUAUACAAACACAACUGCAAAUUCUCAGAGGUCUUGAAUCAAGGUCAUGAACACUCAAGCUGUUUGAUUUGGAACGAAAGAAAAUCAAAGAGAACAGAUGAUACAUGAAGGGAAGUGUCUGUAUAUUAGGUGUUCUAUGACCUUUACGACAGUUCCAACUCAUCCAGUUGUCAUGCUCUGUCAACUCUUUUAAAAGUUACCAUGGAUUUAUAAUACCAGAGGGCUUAUGGCAAUCUAGGCAGAAAAAGAAGGCACUGUCAAAUCUUGAUGAAUGGUUUUCCCGGCAUCAUUGCCCUGGUAGCUGUGUAAAGUCUGAGAGGAUAUCUCCCUCAAC